GAGGGGCAUCCGAAGUCGCUGUGCUAACCGCAAGGAGGCAGCCGGCCACGGUAGGGUCAGCGACUGGGGUGAAGUCGUAACAAGGUAGCCGUAGGUGAACCUGCAGAAGGAUCA
rnacentral:rRNA from 1 species